rnacentral:lncRNA from 1 species
AUGUGUAUUGUGUGCCUCCUGUGAACGUGAAUUCCCCAAACACUGUCAGUUUCUCCAAAAGUUCCUUCCUUCCCCGAGUUCUCACAUUGCAAAAUCACUGUGCUCAUGGCAGAGACCCAUCCUUGUUUCAUCACAUGAUGCCGCCUCCCUACCUCUACGGACAAAGACACAUGCUGCAUACUGCUGUUCAGUGUUGGGGAUGCUUGUUUGUUUACACUGUCAAAGAAUAACCAGGGUAGCUGCAAGGUUCUUACUAUCCAGCCUAUCAAUGUAAUUGUAUAGUAGUAUCACUGGAGUUGUGAAACAAACAUUAAUAUCCACUCCUUGUGUUUAUAUUUAGCAGUGAGUGUUAAUGGUGUGAUUAUCGAAUGUAAACAAGCUCCACCCAGAACGAGACUGGAUGACUAAAUGA